GACGAACGCUGGCGGCGUGCCUAAUACAUGCAAGUUGAGCGCUGAAGGUUGGUACUUGUACCAACUGGAUGAGCAGCGAACGGGUGAGUAACGCGUGGGGAAUCUGCCUUUGAGCGGGGGACAACAUUUGGAAACGAAUGCUAAUACCGCAUAAAAACUUUAAACACAAGUUUUAAGUUUGAAAGAUGCAAUUGCAUCACUCAAAGAUGAUCCCGCGUUGUAUUAGCUAGUUGGUGAGGUAAAGGCUCACCAAGGCGAUGAUACAUAGCCGACCUGAGAGGGGGAUCGGCACAAUUGGGCCGGGAAACCGGCCCAAAACCCUCGGGGGGGCAGCAGUAGGGAAUUUUCGGCAAGGGGCGAAAGUCGGACCGAGAAACGCCGGGGGAGGGAAGAAGGUUUUGGGAUCUUAAAACUCUGUUGGUAGAGAAGAACGUGGGGGGGGGGGGAAAGCUCAUCAAGUGACGGUAACUACCCAGAAAGGGACGGCUAACUACGG
rnacentral:rRNA from 1 species